CACCAUCCAGCUUUGCUCUCGGGGCCUGGACGUCCACCUCCAUGCUGGACAGAGACAUCUUCACAUCGGGGGCUGUCACUUCCGCCUUGGGGCCUUUCAGGUCCAGCUUGGGGCCCUUAACAUCUAUCUGGGGCCCCUUGAGGUCCACUUUGGGCAUCUUGAAACUGGGCAUCUGCACUUUGGGCAGGUGCCCUUUGAGGCCGGCUCCCUCGGACACAGGGCCCUCUGGGAGUUUCA
rnacentral:lncRNA from 1 species